rnacentral:rRNA from 1 species
CCUACGGGAGGCAGCAGUGAGGAAUAUUGGUCAAUGGGCGCGAGCCUGAACCAGCCAAGUCGCGUGAAGGAAGACUGCCCUACGGGUUGUAAACCUCUUUUAUCGAGGAAUAAAAUGAGGCACGUGUGCCUUUUCGUAUGUACUCUAUGAAUAAGCACCGGCUAACUCCGUGCCAGCAGCCGCGGUAAUACGGAGGGUGCAAGCGUUACUCGGAAUCACUGGGUGUAAAGAGUGCGUAGGCGGGGUAAUAAGUCAGAUGUGAAAUCCUGUAGCUUAACGACAGAAGAGCAGUUGAAACUGGUUCUCUGGAGUGUGCGAGAGGUAGGUGGAAUUCGUGGUGUAGGGGUAAAAUCCGUAGAGAUCAAGAGGAAUACUCAUUGCGAAGGCGACCUGCUGGAACAUUACUGACGCUGAUGCACGAAAGCGUGGGGAUCGAACAGGAUUAGAUACCCUUGUAGUC